GACGAACGCUGGCGGCGUGCCUAAUACAUGCAAGUCGAGCGACCGGACGAGACACUUGCUUCUCUGAUGUUAGCGGCGGACGGGUGAGUAACACAUGGAUAACCUAACUAUAAGACUGGGCUCAAUUCGGGAACCCGUAGCUAAUUCCGGCUAAUAUUUUGAACCGUAUUGUUCAAAAGUGAAAGACGGUCUUGCUGACACUUAUAGAUGGCCCCGCGAUGCAUUAGCUAGUUGGUAAGGUAACGGCUUAACCAUGCCACGAAGCAUAGCCGACCUGAGAGGGUGAUCGGCGACGCUGGAACUGAGACAGGGUACAGAUUCCUAUGUGAGGCAGGGAUGGGUAAUCUUGCGAAAUGGGGGGAAGCCUGACGGAGCGGCGCCGCGUGAGUGAUGAAGGUCUACUGAUCUUAAAACUCUGUUAUUAGGGAAUAACAGAUGUGGAAGUUACUGAGCACAUCAUGACGUUACCAAAUCAAAAAGCCACGGCUAACUGCGUG
rnacentral:rRNA from 1 species